UCUUUAUACCACUGAUCUGUCGUAUUUUGUUUUUCAUUUUGUAGUAUCAAAACGACGUCCUUAAUUAAAAGUUCGUGCUUGAUUACAGCGUUAGAACGAGUACCUUCUUUGGCUAGCAUAUCAGCAAUGUCGUUGCCCGUAAUGUUAAUAUGGCUAGGAAUCCACUGGAUAGAAGUAUUCCACCUACGACAAUUGAGUGUACAAGCUGCGAGGGAGUCGGUUAAUAUUACAGCAUCUUUUAAUUCAUAUCGAAGAACUUGUUCUGUUGCUAUCCGGAUUGCAAUCAUCUCGGCCGUCAUUGUUGACGUCUCGUAUUCCAAACGAUAACACAUUCGUUGCUUAUUAGUUUCUAUAAAGAUUCCUACACCGCAUACAUCACCGGUCUUUGAAGCAUCCGUGUAUAAUUUUGGAGAGUACUGAUAUUUCCCGUACAGGAGGCCUAGCACUAAUUGUUUCAUUUUGAUGGGGUUUGAUUCUGUUUUUCGUAUUACCAUACCGAUAUUUAAAUAAAUUUUAACCUUCUCCGUAGACUGAACGAAUGUUUUGAAUGGACUUAUAUACUCAAACAUCUGGCGAUUUUCCACGAAUAUUUUUUCAAUAAAUAUCUAAGGGUGUUGCGCAUACGCCGCACCUACUGUUGAACACAUGGAUCGCUGAACUGGACUCACCUUGCAUACAGUUGACCGUGGUGUGUAAACAUUGGAUGGAGAACUGUCACUGCCGAUUCUUGCAAGUCACGAGGAGAAUUAAAAUCGCUUUCUACGGACAUUUUCUUAAAGAUAAUUAAAUAAUAGUGGGAUUAAAAGUUAUUGCUAUAUAGUACGGAUAAAUACUGCUGAUAAGGCUAAAAUUUACUUAAUAAUAGUACGGAGUUUUGCUUAAUGCUAGUAUAAAUUAUCUAGAGUAUAAAACUUAAAUAAGGUUAGUACGACUCUACUUGAAGCUAUUGAUAAAACGAAUACUUAUUUAACAUUAAACCUAGCUUAGACCCGUGCAAACAGUUUCGCUAUCGCUCCGGUUGAAAUUACAGAAAAUCCAGGAAACUUACAAACGUAUGUAAUAGAUUUAAUGUGCUACUAAAAAUAAUUACGAAUUAUCAACUGUUACAGGAAAAUUUUAA